rnacentral:ribozyme from 1 species
UUUUUUUUUUUUUUUUUUUUUUUUUUUUUUUCCCACGCUCUG